rnacentral:tRNA from 1 species
AGCUUUUUAGUUUAUAUUUAAAAUGUUUACUUGUGGUGUAAAAGAAUAUUAGAGCUU